CAAAGAGAACAACGAGGAACUAUCACAGUCUGAAAUGUUUAUUACAACUCGUACAAAGAAAGGGAAGGAAGUUCAUACGGAUACUCAAGUUGCAAUAUCUGAACUUCUGAAUCGCCAAAGUUCUGGAGAAACAGCAGAUGAUGCAUUUACGGCUGUAUUUGGAAAGGAGCAACCUGGUCGGGUUAGAUGCUAUGGUAGAUCGGUGACGACAAGCUCUCUAAAAAAAAGAUGAAGAAAUUACCAAGCUUAAACAAAAGCAUGCCAACGAAAUAACUUCUCUGAAGGAAGAAAUAAAGGAAAUUAUGAGGGAAGAAAUGCGAUGUUUUUUUAGUCAAAUGGUGAAAAACAACCCUGGACUAGAUUUUCAUGAUAUACAAGGGCGUGUUGGAUCUAAUAUUCCUUCACCGGUUGAUGCAAGUAGUGCACGAGCUAUGAGAGGCAAAAAUCUACAACAUUCUUCUGGCUCAACUCAUGCCCCGAAUAUUGAAAAGGAAAAUACAGGUGAUGCAAUUGGAAAUGGUGGCCACAAAUCAAUUUGAAUCAUUAAAGUGAAUGGUGAAGACCUUUUGAACAAGAUGUUUAUUUUUGUUGACACUAAAUAUGAGUACAUUUGGUUUUGUAGAGGUCUUUGCUAGUGAACUUCUUGAACCAACAUUGCUUUA